rnacentral:rRNA from 1 species
CCCUUAGAUGUUCUGGGCUGCACGCGUGCUACAAUGGCGUUUCCAGCAAGUCUGCGAACCCGAGAGGGCCAGCGGAUCUUCGAAUUGGCGUCGUGAUCGAGACAGUCGAUUGCAAUUAUUUGACUCAAACGAGGAAUUCCUUGUAAUCGCGAUUCAUCAUAUCGCGCUGAAUACGUCCCUGCCCUUUGUACACACCGCCCGUCGCUCCUACCGAUUGAGCGAUCCGGUAAAUGUUUUGGAUUGGUGCCGGGGCGGCUAGCUGCCGGUCGCUACGAAAUUUUGUGAACCUUAUCGCUUAGAGGAAGGAAAAGUCGUAACA